UGCCCGACUACUGACCAGAACUCACUGGUGGCUCUCCCAUUCAUCUCGCCGACACCACCCCUCCUUUGGGGACACCUGGACCUGCCAAGGCUGGACCCCGGCAAAGUAGAGAAAGCUGAGGAGGAAAUAAAGUGAAGUGCAAAAGAAGAAAAAGCACAAACGAACCAGCACUUCGAUGACCCUCUCGGUGAGCCUGCUGUAAUUCGGUAGCAGGACAUAGAUGGUCGGCCACGAGAUGACUUUGAUUUAAGCAAAACCAGGACAAGGAGAUAAGUGACAUUUUAGCCCCAGCCCUUUUCAUUAAUGAUUUGGCCUUAACUCAGUGAACCAUAUGAGUGAAUAUGAACCAUAUGAGCGAACCAUAUUAGGUGAAUCAUAUGAGUGAACUAAGAAAUACAGCAGCUGUCCAAUAAAUGCAGCCAGGACAACUGGGUCAUCAGCUGUUUUUAAACUUUUGGAAACAAGCAGGGGUGAAAAAUGUCCUUUUGAUGCAGUAUUAAGGGAGACAAGAUAUCCUUUUUAUCUAAGCGGUCAGAGAAAUAUAGGAGAAAAGGACUUAAAUUAUCAAUAUGGUGUGAGUUUUGGUGAGUAACUUGAAAAUUUUUCUUUUUCUGUCUUUAGGUUCCUCAGUUUGCAAAGCUAUAUUCUCAUAUUAAAGAAGCAUAAGAUUAACCAUUGUUCUUUUAUCUUGUGGGGUAUUUAAUUCAUGAGUAGUUAUUAAUUAGUAAAAACAAAAAAUCCAAAAAUACAAAAUAAGCCCAAACAAAACC